rnacentral:sRNA from 1 species
AAGUAGAAGAGGAAGAAGAAGAAGAAGAAGAAGCUGAAAU